rnacentral:rRNA from 1 species
UGAGGAAUUUUCCGCAAUGGGCGCAAGCCUGACGGAGCAACGCCGCGUGCAGGAGGACGGCCUUCGGGUUGUAAACUGCUUUUCUCCGGGACGAGCAAGGACGGUACCGGAGGAAGAAGCCCCGGCUCACUACGUGCCAGCAGCCGCGGUAAUACGUAGGGGGCGAGCGUUGUCCGGAGUUACUGGGCGUAAAGCGUCCGCAGGCGGUUCUGCGCGUUUCCGGUGCCAGCCCGUUGCUUAACGGCGGGAGUGCCGGGAAGACGGCAGGACUCGAGGGCCUCAGAGGGACAUAGAAUUCCGGGUGGAGUGGUGAAAUGCGUAGAGAUCCGGAGGAAUACCAAUGGCGCAGGCAGUGUCCUGGGAGGCCACUGACGCUGAGGGACGAAAGCCAGGGGAGCGAACGGGAUUAGAUACCCGUGUAGUCC